GAUUUUCCGUUUAAACACGUUCCUUGCAAUUAACGAGGCGAAAAAGAGGAGCUGCUCGGACAUUGGCAAGACCAAUGGGCCUAAAGUUGUGAUGUUGGUUUUUAAAGCCUCACCAGCUACUGCCAUUAGGUCCUUCGACAAUGACAUGCCUUUUUUCCCAUCCUCUUCCUCAUCUUGAAACACGCAACUGAAUGCUCUGUCGUCCGCGCCUUUAUGGGUGCGGACGACAUGCAUCAGUUGAUAUUUCGACCGCCUCCGGUCGGAGAAACGGUUCGAUAGGAGAACAGCGGAUGCACCCAUCCGAAAAAUCAUGUUUGGUAUUAGCUUUGAUUUAUCAUUCCCAGUAUAGAAGGCUG
rnacentral:misc_RNA from 1 species